rnacentral:lncRNA from 1 species
GAGCCGGAGCUCACCUGGAACCCAAGCGCUGGGCCGCGAGCGCCGCGCGCAGCGCCGGCUCCAGCCAGUGCCUUUCUCUUCACACCUCCCCGCCAGCAGAGGGAGCAGGCUCCGGCCUCCGCCAGCCCCAGAGAGAGGCCCUCAUAGCGCAGCGGCGGGCUGAAGAGCUCCUUGAGCGCGGCCAGAGCGGACGCCGAGGCCGAGGACGCGCCCAGAGCCAGCAAGGGAUGCUACCACGCUGUCACCUCUCACCGUGAGCCACAACUGCUGGUCCUGCGUUCACGGCUUUCCUUUGUCUUUCAGGUGGAGACGCGCUGACCUGCCCCAAUACCUAUUGUUGUUUGUUAAAUUACUCCAAGAUACUUAUAGUUAACGGCAAACACCCAUUUAUAACCACAAAUCAUGUCAGAUGUUCAGGACCAGCACAAUCAAUCAAGUAAACAGCACCCUCCUUGAGUAUGUGGCAGGUGUGUGAGGAUUUCAUGAACCUGUCCUGCAUUUCCAAAUCCAUCCUGAGGCCUCUCCCUGGACACAGGUCUGUGGAUCAGCCUGUACUCGGGCAGUUUUACCUUCUAUGUCUGUUUGUCACGGUCCUCUUGUCCUAGUGCUCAUCACUGCACGUUCCCAGCUCCAGCAAGUGGCCACUCUUUUCCCUCCACAACCAAAGGCCCGACGGCCCAGCCCCCCGGUGGCAGGUGGCCCUUCCAUGGCUGAGGUCACACACCCAGCAUCGCAUCCUGCCCUUCUCGGGGCCUCGGGCCCCUUCGACUCGUCUCCAGGGAUUGCACUUGCUCCUGCUGCCCACGGAGGUUUCCUUCCUGUGAUUCCACUCGGAGGGGGCGCUUUUCUUUGCUGGCUUCAACCAUCACAGAGCUGCUUUGUGUUCGCCGGCAGCUGCCACGCUUCCCUGAAAAGGCGGCUUCUGUUCUGCUGGAGAUGAGCUGAUUUGCCUGGCAGCCAACUUAAACAAGGAGGCAAGAAAACAGCAUAGACUGGGCUCCCAAAUACAUCUACAUGGAUUUAAUGGACACGAUUUUAUACACGUGUCCUGGAAAAGUGCUGGCCACAAAGGAGAUGCCUGAUAAAGACUGUGGAAAAAAAUAUCUGAACAUACAGUCAUAAAAAAGAAGAGAGGAUGAAGACUCACUUCCGUCUGAAAAUGUAAGCUUCCUGAGGAUAGAAGUUUUUACUCUGGUUAACUGGGGUACUUAGCACUUGGAGCACUACACACAUCAUAGGAGUUCAGCAAAUACUUAUUGAAUGAAAUGAAACCUAUAAAUUCAGUCCCUGCCGCACAGAGAUGUGGAGUCUGAAUUUGCAUUACCUGCAUGGAGAAGAAAUACCGACCUGAGACUAUGCCAAUAAGUAUGACCUUGGAUUGAUGAAAUCAGGAACUGUAGGAGAAUCAAAGGUAUAACUCCUCUUGUUCCCUUCUAUAGAACACAUCUUAUUAAAAAUGACCACCAUAAAAACUACACAAAGAAUUUGAUAAUAUAGGAGAUGGUAUGGUUUGAGCCAGAAGGGCUAAUAGAGGUUUUCCUUUGGGGAAAAUGGUUGGGUUUAUGUUGUAUAAAUUGGUUUAAACGCUGAUAAGUAGGACCCAAUGGA